rnacentral:rRNA from 1 species
UACGUAGGGUGCGAGCGUUAAUCGGAAUUACUGGGCGUAAAGUGUGCGCAGGCGGUCAUGCAAGUCGAGUGUGAAAGCCCCGGGCUUAACUUGGGAAUUGCGCUCGAAACUACGUGGCUGGAGUGUGGAAGAGGAAGGUGGAAUUCCACGUGUAGCGGUGAAAUGCGUAGAGAUGUGGAGGAACACCAAUGGCGAAGGCAGCCUUCUGGGCCAACACUGACGCUCAUGCACGAAAGCGUGGGGAGCAAACAGG